AUUCUUGGCAAUGCGAGGUAGUGGUGCUCCGGCACUCUUCCACGUUAUUUCUUAGAAAAUCCAAGCACGUGUUGGGCAUCAAACGACGAUCAGGUUGGAUUUAAACAUAGAGACCACUGCUUGUGUUGACGAGAAUUUUUCCUUUUGCCAAUUGUUGGGAAAUUUGCGCUGUGUUUUCACACGAUGGUAAUAAAAUGAGUUGGAGUCUUGUGCUUUAUUCGUAGAGGACCACUAGGCAAAAUUURAGCGGCGAUGCUUCGGUUCAAUGCUUGCGUUUUGUCGAAAAAUUCAAAGACACGUCGGGCAAUGGAUGAUGAUGACUCAAAUGACUUGACAAAACGGUGUUGGAUUAAAACUAAGUUGCGUCCCAUUAAGUUCUCGUGCACAGCGGUGCGGGUGAUGGCCUUUCUCGGUGUAUUCGCGUGUCAUUUGGCCGCGCCUCGCUUAGAAUUGUUGUUGCCUAGCGUACGUGGUGGCACAUGAGUGGUGAAUGGAUCGUUCGGUUUGGUUGGCUCCUUGCUCACGUGCAACGAACUAUCAAGCCUCGAUCCUCUUCAUUUGAAAGCCCCGAUGCCUUGUGCACUUCGGGGAACGGAUGGUUCCUGUGUUGAUUACCCACUAUGGAGGAAAUCAAUUGUUCGUUUGAUCUUUAUUCGCUCUUCUUCUUUUUAAGAAAAAGGGUGGACCAAGUAGUUUUGCCUGUGUUCCAAGCAUGCUGGAAUCGGUUGCUAUGGCCCAUGGGCAAAUACUUGUGCUCUCGGGUGCAGAAAGUCGUGAGGGCGGACGAGACACUCUUGUCCAUUUGCCCAAUUGUUCCUUGAAAUGAACGAUGUCCGUUCUCGUGUUGAUUUGGUCAUUACCAUU
rnacentral:misc_RNA from 1 species